rnacentral:tRNA from 1 species
CAGCAAGUAGUUUAAUUAAAAUAAGGAUUUUGGAGAUCUAAGAUAAAUAUGAAUUUUUCUUGCUGA